rnacentral:rRNA from 1 species
GCAGAACGCGAAGAACCUUACCUGGGCUCGAACGGCGGACGACGUCUCUUAGAAAUAGGAGAGUUUCCUUCGGGAACGGCCGUCGAGGUGCUGCAUGGCUGUCGUCAGCUCGUGUCGUGAGAUGUUGGGUUAAGUCCCGCAACGAGCGCAACCCUUGUCCUGUGUUGCUAAUCUUCGGAUGCACUCUCAGGAGACCGCCAGCGACAAGCUGGAGGAAGGUGGGGAUGAUGUCAAGUCAGCAUGGCCUUUAUGUCCAGGGCUACACACGUGCUACAAUGGGCAGGACAGACCGUUGCAAACCCGCGAGGGGGAGCUAAUCGGAGAAACCUGUUCUCAGUUCGGAUUGCAGGCUGCAACUCGCCUGCAUGAAACUGGAAUCGCUAGUAAUGGCAGAUCAGCAUGCUGCCGUGAAUACGUUCCCGGGUCUUGUACACACCG